GAACGACGUGGUAGCGUGGAUUAGGCAUGCAAGUCGAACGGGAGUCGAGGAAGGCGAGCAAUGUCGGCCGUGUGAGAGUGGCGGAAGGGCGAGGAACGCGUGAGCAACCUGUCCUUGAGGUGGGGAAAACUCCGGGAAACUGGAGCUAAUACCGAAUGUGGCGCCCGGAGACAUCUCCGGAGCGCUAAAGGGGGCCCAAAAGGCUCUCCCUCUUCGAGGGGCUCGCGCACCAUCAGCUUGUUGGCGGGUAACGGCCCACCAAGGCUCACGGUUAGCUGGUCUGAGAGGAUGGCCAGCCGCACUGGGACUGAGAUACUGCCCAGACUCCUACGGGAGGCUGCAGUCGAGGAUCAUUCGCAAUGGGGGAAACCCUGACGAUGCGACGCUGCGUGGGAAGGAUGAAGGCCUUCGGGUCGUAAACUCCUGUCAUGACGGAAAAGGAGAGGGGACCCAACACGUCCCUCAUUUGAUGGUACGUCAAGAGGAAGAGACGGCUAACUCUGUGCCAGCCGCCGC
rnacentral:rRNA from 1 species